rnacentral:rRNA from 1 species
CCUGGCCUUGACAUACUAAGAACUUUCCAGAGAUGGAUUGGUGCCUUCGGGAACUUAGAUACAGGUGCUGCAUGGCUGUCGUCAGCUCGUGUCGUGAGAUGUUGGGUUAAGUCCCGCAACGAGCGCAACCCUUUUCCUUAUUGCCAGCGGGUUAAGCCGGGAACUUUAAGGAUACUGCCAGUGACAAACUGGAGGAAGGCGGGGACGACGUCAAGUCAUCAUGGCCCUUACGGCCAGGGCUACACACGUGCUACAAUGGUCGGUACAAAGGGUUGCUACCUCGCGAGAGGAUGCUAAUCUCAAAAAGCCGAUCGUAGUCCGGAUCGCAGUCUGCAACUCGACUGCGUGAAGUCGGAAUCGCUAGUAAUCGCGGAUCAGAAUGCCGCGGUGAAUACGUUCCCGGGCCUUGUACACACCGCCCGUCACACCAUGGGAGUUUGUUGCACCAGAAGUAGGUAGUCUAACCGCAAGGAGGACGCUUACCACGGUGUGGCCGAUGACUGGGUGAAGUCGUAACAAGGUAGGCGUAGAUGA